UUAACGUAAACCGGUAGAGAAGUGCGCGAGCCAGGAAAACCGGCGCCCGAGUGGUGAGUCUGUGACCAGGGCAGGUUAAAAUUCUUCGAUGUCUGGGGUUUCCCU